GUGUGCCCUUAAGGUGGACUUGGUGCUUUCAGGGGCUAGCAGGAGGAUAAAGUAAGUUUCCAUAAAACCCAAAGAGGAGACUGGACAAACUUCUGGAUCCUGUCUGGAUUCAUAGCC